GUUUGAUACUUGGUAUGCACUAUUUUUAUUUGAUAUUUUUUUAUCUGGGCAUGAAGAGGUUCCCAAAGAAUCUCCCUAUGGUUCAAAUAUUGAGCCUUGAGUUUAUUCUUUUUAAUUACUUGUAGGGUGUUGACUUGUACGAAUCACGGACAAAAUUGGGUGCUGAAAUAGUUUCUCUCUUCUUUUGUUUGGAAUGAGGGAAAAUUGAGAAGGAAAGAAAAUAAGAGUGGAAAAUAACAAAUAGAAAUCAAUAUUCGUUUUCUCUCCAAUUUGGAGAGAGUGAGUGGAAAAUAAAUAAAAUUAAAUUUUUAUUCCUACAAUUAUUUAUUUUAAUUGCAAAUAAAAAGCGCAAAAUGGAUAUUUUACUAUUUAAAAUGCUACUUUCCCUCUUAUUUUACUCCCUAAUAUCCAAACAAAGGGAGGAA
rnacentral:misc_RNA from 1 species